rnacentral:rRNA from 1 species
UACGUAGGGAGCAAGCGUUGUCCGGAAUUACUGGGUGUAAAGGGAGCGUAGGCGGGAUGGCAAGUUGGGUGUUAAAUCUACCGGCUCAACUGGUAGUCGCACUCAAAACUGCUAUUCUUGAGUGAAGUAGAGGCAGGCGGAAUUCCUAGUGUAGCGGUGAAAUGCGUAGAUAUUAGGAGGAACACCAGUGGCGAAGGCGGCCUGCUGGGCUUUUACUGACACUGAGGCUCGAAAGUGUGGGGAGCAAACAGG